rnacentral:lncRNA from 1 species
AAAGAAAGCGGAGUCAGCUCAUCUCAGGGCGACUUCCUCACUGUGAGUCGCCUCUGCUCACCAAAUUCAGGCCUCUUGUUGAGGGCCCAGCGCCUGGCUUCGUGCUCGGAGAUGGACCGUGUCCCCGCGCCCCGCCCCCUGUCCUGAGAUAGACCGUGCCCCAGCACAAGCUGAGGGGACGCAGCCAGCACCUGCACCCUGGCCUGGCACGUCCUACGGGGACCUGAAAACUCCCUACAGAUGUUGUGAGUGGUUUAGCCCGCGCUCAGUUGUCCAGAAGAGUAGCGACGACGUCUCUUAGGACAGUGAUCACAUUUUUUCCCGUUUCCUCGUUCCAGAAUAUCUGCUGAGCAACCGAACGCGCUCUCAUAGAUGCACAGAGGAACCGACCGCCGCAGCUGUCUGCAGAAGUUCGUGUUGUGCGUGGUCAAGUAGAUGGGCAGGCUUUGGAGGGAGAGGUCCUUGGUGAACGGACUCCUGAUUCGUCCGACACCGAAGGCCUUGCUUGUGUGUCAGGUGUCUAUUUAACAGUUUGCGUGGCGUCCUGUAAAUGCAGUUUCGUCCAGUCGGCAAGCACAGCAGCCUGAGAGGCUGAUCUAGUUCAGCCUGGGGACCUGCGCAUGAGUGUCAUGGGUUCACGCCGACACACAUAUAAAAAUAAACAUUCGAGAAGAAAAGAAAAACUGAUCUAAAGGACAGGUUACAGACUUGAGUUUUGUGUUCGGCCUCCCAGGUUCCGGGUCAGUAUUUCCAUUUUGGUUUCCUGUCAGCACACAGAGCAUCCCCUAACUAGGCUGCGCUAACUAAAGGAUGUUAGGGAACUCUCUUGGGUAUUUUUUAAGUUCCCAUUAAGUAUUUAUAUUAAUUUGAUUUGGAUUAAAUCAGUAUCA